rnacentral:rRNA from 1 species
UACGUAGGGUGCGAGCGUUGUCCGGAAUUACUGGGCGUAAAGAGCUCGUAGGUGGUUUGUCGCGUUGUUCGUGAAAACCGGGGGCUUAACCCUCGGCGUGCGGGCGAUACGGGCAGACUUGAGUACUGCAGGGGAGACUGGAAUUCCUGGUGUAGCGGUGGAAUGCGCAGAUAUCAGGAGGAACACCGGUGGCGAAGGCGGGUCUCUGGGCCAAUACUGACGCUCAUGCACGAAAGCGUGGGGAGCAAACAGG